UACCCCAUGGUGUAAUUGGUAGCACGGCAGAUUCUGGUUCUGUAAGUUGGGGUUCAAGUCCCUGUGGGGUAA
rfam:Fuerstia marisgermanicae strain NH11 chromosome, complete genome.